rnacentral:sRNA from 1 species
UCCAUAUCUCUGGCUAUACUGUGUGGUUCCCGCGUUGAUCAUAAAAUUUUAUUUCAGUUCAUUGGUGUGUGACAAAGCUACAUGCACUUCAAACAAUUUUAGAUGAGACAUGCCAUAUGUUCCAAUAGGGACACACUGGGAUAUUAUUUUUCUUCUAUACAAGCGUUAUUCCUGCUUUUGUUUUUCCCAUCUCGACAUAGUUUUUGAAUUUUCUAAUGACCCAUCCUUCCGAAUUUAUAUUAUUUGCUUUGUAAAUAUGCUUACAGAGUUUUCAUUAUCAACCAACUUCAAGAUAUGAUUUUAUUAAUUUGUUUUCUGUUUAAUUUAUUAUUGUUCUGUUUGCCCCUUCUUGGAAGACAUAGAUGUUUCAACACAGUUUAUUUGAAAAGAGUUUUGUCCUACCUGUCAUAUAUACUCAUCACAUGGCAAUAUAUGAAUGAUAUCC